rnacentral:misc_RNA from 2 species
AAAUCUCAUAAAUGAAACAUUUUUUGUUUUAAAUUUGUGGACUUGGAUUUGCGAUUUUACAAAUUGCUAAUCUAAAAUGAAUUUCAUGAAGCUUUAUAUAUUGCUUUGUUCCUUUGCUUAAUAGUUUUGCUUUGUCAAAUCUUUUGCAAUUGUUUCAAAUGCCACAAAAAGUGAAUUGAUUUUUUACGAAAUCUUAUAUCUCAUU